rnacentral:lncRNA from 1 species
AAGUCUUGAUCUUUUUAAGAAUCUAAGUUUCUUCUUCUCUUCCAUUGUAUCUUCCCCAAUUUCAGGUGGUAUAUGUAGUGUAACAUCUUCUCCAUCCAUUGUUGAGUGAUCUCUCUUGUAGGAGUGCAAUUUAUGUAAUCUUAGCUAUUGUUUGUUGCUUGUUUGUUGUUUUUUGCCCAUUUUUUCUUUCUCUCUGUUUGUUAUCUUGUUUUUUUUUCCUUUUUAUCCGAUUAUUUGUCAUCUUGAGUCUUUCUUUUUUCUCCUUUCCCUCUCGCAUCACCUUGUGUUAUCACUUUGUUUAAAAUCAUGAAGCAUAUUAGAACUAGAACAGACACUAAUCG